rnacentral:tRNA from 1 species
AGGGUUAUAGUUUAAUUAAAACAUUUAAUUUGCAAUUAAAAAAUACUUCAAUAAGUUUACCUUA